AAUAAGUAAGGUAAUUAAAUAUGAAUAAAUAGCAGAUAAACUCCAUAUAUGAGACCUUCCAAAACAAUUCCGCCUAAUUUGAUGCAAAAACAGAAAAGUAAAGCAGAAGAACUUGAUGGGAGGAAAAAGAAGUACCCGAGGUGCAAGGUUGUCAUUAAAUCUCCAUUCUCAGCUCUGCUUUUGCAGACAGCUUCUGGACUUGAGGCACCAUUUCUUAUGGGAGAAUUUCUAGUUUCAGGAUUGUAUUCAGGGUAACCUCCCACUGGGCUUGCACUUACUGGAAAAUAACUUUGAAGCUCCUCAAUCUGAAAAUGGGGGAGGAAUCAAUGAAAUUUUGUGUCAGGUGUGAAAAAUAACAAAGAUAAGUGAAAAAUGACAAGGAUUUGCCUGUUUGCGCAAAUUCGUAUUCUCCAUCAUGACUCGCUGUUCCUGAUAGAAAGUAAGACAAAAUGUUAUCAUGAUGUGACAAUAGGUUUUAGGACUAAUAACUCCAGGAACAACUGCUACAACAUUUACUGUGAUUUUGUCUUUCUCUGAUCGUAAUCCAAUAUCUUAUUCUUUAUACACAUUGGCAAUAGAUUUAAAGGCGAUAUUAUUUCAUCCUGAGUGAAGUUGAAGGAAGUUUCCAGUAAAAGCAAACCAAAAUUGAAACAUGCUUGUUAAGUCGUCGACUAGUCGUCGCCUAGGCGACGACUAGGCGUCAAGUCUGAAAAAAAUUUCGAGUCGUUGGGACGACUUGGUUGGAAAGCAGAAAGGCGCGCGCUCAGACACCGACUCGGACGCCUUGGACGACUUCCGAGCGACUUGGACGACUA
rnacentral:lncRNA from 1 species